UACGGGGGGGGCAAGCGUUGUUCGGAAUUACUGGGCGUAAAGGGCUCGUAGGUGGCCAACUAAGUCAGACGUGAAAUCCCUCAGCUUAACUGGGGAACUGCGUCUGAUACUGGAUGGCUUGAGUUUGGGAGAGGGACGCGGAAUUCCAGGUGUAGCGGUGAAAUGCGCAGAUAUCAGGAGGAACACCGGUGGCGAAGGCGGAUCUCUGGGCCAUUACUGACGCUGAGGAGCGAAAGCGUGGGGAGCGAACAGG
rnacentral:rRNA from 1 species